GUGAAGGAACUCCACAGGUCUAAUACUGAUACACAGGCCAUGUCUAUGACGAUGUGUGAAGGAACUCCACAAGUCUAAUACUGAUACACAGGCCAUGUCUAUGAUAAUGUGUGAAGGAACUCCACAAGUCUAAUACUGAUACACAGGCCAUGUCUAUGAUGAUGUGUGAAGGAACUCCACAGGUCUAAUACUGAUACACAGGCCAUGUCUAUGACGAUGUGUGAAGGAACUCCACAGGUCUAAUACUGAUACACAGGCCAUGUCUAUGAUGAUGUGUGAAGGAACUCCACAGGUCUAAUACUGAUACACCAGCCAUGUCUAUGAUGAUGUGUGAAGGAACUCCACAGGUCUAAUACUGAUACACAGGCCAUGUCUAUGACGAUGUGUGAAGGAACUCCACAGGUCUAAUACUGAUACACAGGCCAUGUCUAUGAUGAUGUGUGAAGGAACUCCACAGGUCUAAUACUGAUACACAGGCCAUGUCUAUGAUAAUGUGUGAAGGAACUCCACAGGUCUAAUACUGAUACACAGGCCAUGUCUAUGACGAUGUGUGAAGGAACUCCACAGGUCUAACACUGAUACACAGGCCAUGUCUAUUAUAAUGUGUGAAGGAACUCCACAGGUCUCAUACUGAUACACCGGCCAUGUCUAUUAUAAUGUGUGAAGGAAUUCCACAGGUCUAAUACUGAUACACAGGCCAUGUCUAUGACGAUGUGUGAAGGAACUCCACAGGUCUAAUACUGAUACACAGGCCAUGUCUAUGACAAUGUGUGAAGGAACUCCACAGGUCUAAUACUGAUACACAGGCCAUGUCUAUGAUAAUGUGUGAAGGAACUCCACAGGUCUAAUACUGAUACACAGGCCAUGUCUAUGACGAUGUGUGAAGGAACUCCACAGGUCUAAUACUGAUACACAGGCCAUGUCUAUGAUAAUGUGUGAAGGAACUCCACAGGUCUAAUACUGAUACACAGGCCAUGUCUAUGACGAUGUGUGAAGGAACUCCACAGGUCUAAUACUGAUACACAGGCCAUGUCUAUGACAAUGUGUGAAGGAACUCCACAGGUCUAAUACUGAUACACAGGCCAUGUCUAUGAUAAUGUGUGAAGGAACUCCACAGGUCUAAUACUGAUACACAGGCCAUGUCUAUUAUAAUGUGUGAAGGAAUUCCACAGGUCUAAUACUGAUACACAGGCCAUGUCUAUGACGAUGUGUGAAGGAACUCCACAGGUCUAAUACUGAUACACAGGCCAUGUCUAUGAUGAUGUGUGAAGGAACUCCACAGGUCUAAUACUGAUACACAGGCCAUGUCUAUGAUGAUGUGUGAAGGAACUCCACAGGUCUAAUACUGAUACACAGGCCAUGUCUAUGAUGAUGUGUGAAGGAACUCCACAGGUCUAAUACUGAUACACAGGCCAUGUCUAUGAUAAUGUGUGAAGGAACUCCACAGGUCUAAUACUGAUACACAGGCCAUGUCUAUGAUGAUGUGUGAAGGAACUCCACAGGUCUAAUACUGAUACACCGGCCAUGUCUAUGAUAAUGUGUGAAGGAACUCCACAGGUCUAAUACUGAUACACAGGCCAUGUCUAUGAUAAUGUGUGAAGGAACUCCACAGGUCUAAUACUGAUACACAGGCCAUGUCUAUGAUGAUGUGUCAAGCAGAGAAUGAAGAGGACCCUGUACAGUUCAUUACAUGUUAGUUGUACACCAUUGGGCAUCUUUCCCAAAACCAUAACCCUGGCUUUCCUGUACUGUGAUUCCUUUUCAAAACCUGACUAACACCUGCCCUGGACAUAAAACGUAAAACCCUAACUAACCCUAGCCUUAGAACAUUAAACCCUAACUAACCCUAGCCUUAGAACAUUAAACCCCAACUAACCCUAGCCGUAGAACAUUAAACCCUAACUAACCCUAGCCUUAGAACAUUAAACCCUAACUAACCCUAGCCUUAGAACAUUAAACCCUAACUAACCCUAGCUCUGGGUUUAGAACUUAAAACCAUAACUAACCCUAGCCCCGGGUUUAGAACUUAAAACCCUAACUAACCCUAGCCCUGAAUUUUGAACGUAAAACCCUAACUAACCCUAGCCCUGGAUUUAGAACUUAAAACCCUAACUAACCCUAGCUCUGGAUUUAGUUAAAACCCUAACUAACCCUAGCUCUGGAUUUAGUUAAAACCCUAACUAACCCUAGCUCUGGAUUUAGUUAAAACCCUAACUAACCCUAGCUCUGGAUUUAGUUAAAACCCUAACUAACCCUAGCCCUGGCCUUCUCAACUCUAAACUUCCAAACGCAGGCUGUGUUUACACAUGCAGCCCAAUUCUUAUCUUUUUUUUCACUAAUUGGUCUUUAGUCUAAUCAGAUGUGCACUGAAAAAGUUCUGAUGUGAAAAGAUCUGAUGUGAUUGGUCAAAAAAAACAACUACUGUCAAAAAGAUCAGAAUUGGGCUGCCUUACAGUCCAGCUCAGCACAAUCAACAUGGAUGCAAAAAACACACUACCCAGUUCCCUACCAGUCCCCCACUAUGAAACACUCUCAUAGGAGGCUGUGCUUGUCCCUCGUCUUUUUCCCACUUCAUCACAAGAUGGUCAGAGACGUUAUGACAUCUUUUUAUUUCCCCACAUCACCCCCAUUAAUGCCAUGUGUCUCUGGCCUAAAGAGGAUGUCUCACCUGGCCGUAUAAAACCCUGCCUACCAGUACAACUACUUCACACAUGCUUGCACACACGCAUGGUCACGCACACACAACAUAAAUAACACAUUGGACAGAGAAAGCGGGUACAAGUGCUGAUUUCAGGAAAAAAUGCAUUAGUUCCUUUCAGGCCCCAAACCUUUGACUGACUUGCAAGGGAGAUGGUUGUUAUGGGAGCCAUUUAGAAUGUGUCAAGUGUUUAGAGGGGACUCAGGCCAGCCUUGUGUCAGACAUGUUCCCUGUGGGGUCUCUAUAACAGAACAUAUAACAGUCCUGGGAUGGAGUGUUGGGGAGGAGGAGGCACAAAGAGUCAGCUUGUUGCUACCAUAUGGAAAGGAUGACAGGAGUUGUCUCAGGAGAAUGAGAGAAAGCUGGAGAAAAGCUAGGAACGCUCAAUUCUCCCGUGCUUAUCUAGAAGGCAAUCUGCGUGUUUCUUUGCGGCACUCAAACAUUUAGUUUUGUGUUUAUUUAUGACAAGCAGAUGUUUCAACAAGAGGAUGUUCAACGCCCGAGAAGAAAAAGAGGAGGGGGAGUAAAGAAGAGAAAAGCAGCUCGUGGUCGUGCCUUACUGCAGGAGAGGACAGGGGCUCCAAGCCUGCCUUAUUUAAUAACUCACCUGAGGUAUUUGGCAUAUGACACGCGAACAGGGCUCAUAUUUACGAGUGUACCCCAGGAGGAGAGAACAGGGCCAACCAAAAAGGCAAAAGACGUCAAAAUAAGAGAUGAACGAGGAAGCAAAAAUUUCCACACCUCUCCAAUCCACCGGCAGUAAAUCCACAGGUGCAUAUUAGCAUGUCCCUGAGUGAUGAACUAACACUAUAACCACAUCAUUGAAUGAGCAGUAGGUUUGUGUUCAUACAUUUUAUUUUUAGUGCCGUGCUUAUCAUAAGAUAUUUGCUGGCAUUACAACUAGUCAGCAGCUUUAUGCUGCUCAUAAAAAAUUACAAUAAAAUAAAAAAGUCUAAUAAAGUUUUUACUUUUAAAAUACACUAUCACGUAAACUAUAUAUGGAUACAGAGAGCCAUAUUGACAACUUUACGGGAAUAAUAUGAAUGA